UUUUGCCGGCGAGGGGCGGACGGGUGAGUAAUGCCUGGGAAAUUGCCCAGUCGAGGGGGAUAACAGUUGGAAACGACUGCUAAUACCGCAUACGCCCUACGGGGGAAAGCAGGGGACCUUCGGGCCUUGCGCGAUUGGAUAUGCCCAGGUGGGAUUAGCUAGUUGGUGAGGUAAUGGCUCACCAAGGCGACGAUCCCUAGCUGGUCUGAGAGGAUGAUCAGCCACACUGGAACUGAGACACGGACCAGACUCCUACGGGAGGCAGCAGUGGGGAAUAUUGCACAAUGGGGGAAACCCUGAUGCAGCCAUGCCGCGUGUGUGAAGAAGGCCUUCGGGUUGUAAAGCACUUUCAGCGAGGAGGAAAGGUUGGCGCCUAAUACGUGUCAACUGUGACGUUACUCGCAGAAGAAGCACCGGCUAACUCCGUGCCAGCAGCCGCGGUAAUACGGAGG
rnacentral:rRNA from 1 species